UCUUCUCAAUUAGUUGCUGCCGAAUUUUGCUCUCCUCCAUAGCUGGGGUUUCUUCAAUUUCCAAGCUCCAUAGUAAGUGAUUCCAAGCCCCGUUUUUAAUGAUCUUUACGUUUUUGGAGUCCCGGUAACUUGAUUAAGCUUAUUCUAGCAAUAAUUCAACCUAGGGUUCAUAUUUGGAAAAAUACCCAUAGAUGAAAUUUGUGUAUUUUGGUGUUUUAUUAUAGAAUAUGAGGUUUUAAAUUAUGUUAGACAACUUGUGCUACUCGGUUUUAAGUGAAAACGAGUAAAAUGGCUUAAUUGGUAAAAAUACCUAAUAGUCAUAAGUACAUGUUAGAGUGUGAAUUUGAUGUUGCCGUAGAAGGGAAAAAUGAUCAGCAUGUCAUAAAACAUAAGAAAAUAGGAUGAAGUUUAAUUUACGAGCCUUGGGGCAAAAGUGCAAAUAUGUGAAAGUUUAGAGGCAAAAAUGUAAUUUUGCCAAAGUUUGAGUCACGGACUGUUUUAAUACAUGUGAGUAUUAAAAAAGCUAAAUUUUUUAUAUAGAUCAAGAAGAACAAAAUCUGGAGUUAGACCGAGGAAAGAAGAAGAUAGUGGACUAAAUCGAUAUAGUUGAUCGUAUUUUGUUUUGAGGUAAGUUUGCGGUAAAUAAAUGUAAUAUUCUAUUAUUUUAUGUUAAUUUUGUUAAUUUCCAGCAUGUGUAUAUUUAUUUUAUGAAAUUAUUCAAAGAAGACUCAAGCAUGAAUUGACGGAGAAGUAAUUUCAGAAAGUCCCGGUUGAACCUUAGGAAUGUGUAGGAUACAAAUGUCAUGACAUUAGGGUUUAAGGAUACCAUGUAAGACCAUGCUAAGGCAUGGCAAUUGGUAAGGUUUAUAAGGCAAGGAAAUCAUGUAAGACCAUGUCAAGACACGGCAUUGAUAAGUUACUAUAAGGCAAAGGUUCCAUGUAAGACCAUGCCAAGGCAUAGCAUUGGUGAGUUCAUAAGGCAAGGAUACCAUGUAAGACCAUGUCAAGACAUGGCAAUGGUAAGUUUCAAAAGGAUACCACGUAAGACCAUGACAAGUCAUGGCAAUGGUAAGGUACCCGUGUAUCCUUAGUAUUCCAAGUGGUUCAACAGGAAAAUUUAAAGAGAAUAUCGAGGUAAGGUAAGGUAAGACAAGUUCAUGCUAGAAGAGCAAAGGUAAGUACAUAAUGUUCAUGUAUGCUUGAUAAGGAAAAAGGUAAGUAAAAUGUAUUAAUAAAUUUGAUUAAGUAAGUAAGUAUUUAAGUAAGUGAGUAAGUGAAGAAGUUUAAAAUAUGUCUAUGACAAUUAAUGAAGCUGCAUUAAGUAGUAAGAUAAUUCUUAUGAAUGUUGUUAUUUAUUUGCAUGCAAACUUACUAAGCUUAAUGCUUACCCCCUUUAUUUUCCUUCUUUUUAUAGUUUUGUCAAGCUAACUCGGGGAUCGUAAAGUACGUCGGAGGUCCAGGCACACUAUCACAAGGGUAAUUUUGGUAUAGCUAGACGUUUCAUUUUGAGUAUGGCAUGUAUAGUAUCGUAGCCAUUUUGUGUGUAUGAUCUUAUGAUAUGGCUGAUGAAUGGUAUGUAAAUGUUUGAUAAUUAUUAGCUGUUGGAAUGGCUAAUCAAGGACAUGUUUGGUGUUAUGUAUGUGUAAAUGCUAGUUAUUCCAUGGAAAUCAUGAAAAAGGUGAAAUUAGCACAAAACAGAAUCAGACAGUAGCAGUGACGUGAAUUUGAAAAAUCACUAAAAAUAGUAGAACUAGAAUUAAAUGAUGAAUAAGUUAUGAAAUUAAAUAUUAUUAUGUCAAUUUUCAAAUGGAAGAGACAAAAUAGGUAAAUGAGUUAUACUUUAUGAGAUAUUUAAGUUUUUGUGAAACAGGGCCAGAGCGAUUUCUGGAUCCCCUUUUCUGAAUUCGGAAAUUAACCAUAAAUUGUAAAAAAAUUAUUAAGAGUCAUACCUUACAUGCAUGGAUUCCUUAUUGAGUCUAUUUUUAAGCGAAACAAACGGUAUGGUCAUUGAAAUUAUGUACAUGGAGAAAUUUGAUUCGUAGUGCACAGGGGUCAGAGUAGUCAUACCUUGAAACAGGGGAGACUUUAACUAAUAAACUGUACUAAAUGGCUCAACCAAAAAUUCUGGAAAUUUUAUGGAAGAAAUAUAAAUGAGUCUAGUUUCAGAGUAAAUUUACGGAAUUGGAUUUCGUAUUUUGGAACUCAAUAUAUGAAUUUUUAAGCGACUAGGACGUAGAUUGCCAGCUUGUCUGGAAGUUCUAAAACAAAUUGUUUGAGCUGUUUAAGUAAUGAAUUAAGUCCGUUAACACCUCGUGUUCGACUCCGGCGACGGUCUCGAUUACGGGCGUUACAUUUAUUGGUAUUAGAGCCAAGUUUUAGUCGGUUCUCGGAAUAUUUAGUAUGAGUAAGAGUCUAGCUAUACAUGUCAUACUUAUGUAUUGAUAGUGUGACGAAUCCUGACGAUUUUAAAAUGUUUUCUUUUAUAGUUAUGGAUCCCGAACAAGCUGGUGCAGAUGAUGUAGAGAGUAACGUGCCCGCUCCCACAGAAGGGACGGUGCCACCAAAUAGUAGUGAAAGGCC
rnacentral:lncRNA from 1 species